rnacentral:rRNA from 1 species
CACGCUGUAAACGAUGGGUGCUAGGUGUUGGAGGUAUCGAUCCCUCCAGUGCCGCAGUAAACGCAAUAAGCACCCCGCCUGGGGACUACGGCCGCAAGGCUGAAACUCAAAGGAAUUGACGGGGGCCCGCACAAGCGGUGGAGCAUGUGGUUUAAUUCGACGCAACGCGAAGAACCUUACCAGGGCUUGACAUCCACAGAACUCGGUGGAAACACUGGGGUGCCCUUCGGGGAACUGUGAGACAGGUGG